CCUACGGGUGGCAGCAGUGGGGAAUAUUGCGCCAUGGGCGAAAGCCUGACGCAGCGACGCCGCGUGAGGGAUGAAGGUCUUCGGAUCGUAAACCUCUGUCAGCAGGGAAGCACGGUCACUGUGCUAAUCAGCAGUGAAUUGACGGUACCUGCAAAGGAAGCACCGGCUAACUCCGUCCCAGCAGCCGCGGUAAUACGGAGGGUGCGAGCGUUAAUCGGAAUUACUGGGCGUAUAGCGCUCGUAGGCGGUAUGUCAAGUCACGGGUGAAAUGUCCGCGCUCAACGUGGGAACUGCCUGUGAAACUGGCAAACUGGAGUGUGUGAGAGGUGAGUGGAAUUCCAGGUGUAGGGGUGAAAUGCGUAGAUAUCUGGAGGAACAUCAGUGGCGAAGGCGACUAUCUGGCACAUAACUGACGCUGAGGAGCGAAAGCGUGGGUAGCAAACAGGAUUAGAUACCCGGGUAGUC
rnacentral:rRNA from 1 species